GGUAAUUAUUCAGCCGAAUACGUUGCACGAAACGCGUUGAAGGUGUUAAAUGGUUGCGUGGAAUUAACGUUGAAUUUCGUUUCAUGCGGCUAAAAAAGGCUCAGGUAGAUCCGCAUGAAUGGAGAGAGGGAGAGGAGAGAAGCUUCGAUCCGGGAAGAGAAAUACCGGCCCUAACGUUUACAUGAAAGGUGCGGCCACAGCCUAAUAACCCGAAUGUAACCGGACACACCGCCGAGAGAGAGGGGGCGAGGGCGCCCCCGCGCGCGCAAAGGAGACGGAGAGAGCGCCACGGGGACUGCCAUCGAAAUAAGACUAUCGAGAUUCGGAACUCGUGCGUGCGCUCGAGCGAGCCCCGAUGGAGGACCACGUGGAAUGGACGAUUCCAUCGGUUUGCUUCUGCAUUGGAACCUGAAUCCAGGAGGAAAAAUCCCGACUCCGUACCACGCUCUCUUCCCCCUCUACUUUUAGACUCGCGCUUUAAACAAUGCCCGCGUUAAACCGAAGGUACUUUUUACAAGGAUUCGCAUCUGGAUUCGAGGUUGAGUCGAGGAGAAAAAGUUUGGGUUUCGUGGCACGUGCAAUCGCUCCUGCUCAUUUUUCUCUCUUUCUGGGUCCGUUAUAAAAAAUAUAUCUAAGAAAGGUCGUUACUUCCUUGGGACAGAGUUGCAGAAAUAUCUUGGGUAACAUCUGUAUUUAGAAGUGAAAUCAUUGUUGACCGAUGUAUUUCGCCAUGCUCAAUGUGUAAAGGGAGUAAACGCAGCCACGUUCGUCCUAUUGCCAUUGACAAACGAAUGCACCAUUAUCACGUGAGAGGCUCUAAGUAGUGAAUCACCGCAUCCUUAUUACGUGAGAAUAUCGUUACGUAGCUGGUAACAAAACCAGCGAUUCGUUGUAAUUAUGUAAUUAAGUUCUUUGUGUUAACAGGCUGGGCGUGAUUAAAGGAGGAUAUCACGCAGGCGUAGAUCUCCCAUUAAGCUCUGCGUACCUGUCGACUCAAUGAGAUCCGAUAAGUAAUAUUCUUUUUCCUUCUGGCUUCCAACUUGCCGACUGUAACGUUUGCCGAAGGAACGGCCUGUCCUCGCGGCGAUCGUUCCAAAGUCGAAGCCAAUCCGCGACAAAAGCGGCGUGUCCAAGGUACCCCGGCAUAACGGACGAGGCGGCAAGAUGGCCGUGCCAGAUUCAGGUACACACGUCACGGAGUCGCAGGUACAAACGGGCAUGGAUUUACAAGAGCUGGAUCGAUGUCACUGUGUGCAAACGCGUUCAGUCGUGUCCAUCAUGUAUGAAUAUAUUUACAUGCACAUACACCGGCGUGCGUGGCCCGGCAACAAGAUGCACCCUCGUGUAUUAACCUGUAUAAAUGCGGAGCGCUUCCAAACCUCGGCGUCAUUUAAUCUGAAAUUUACUCGUGUCAUGAUUUACAGGUGAUUCGCACAUCCGAUUAGAAAAAUCGGUUUCCUUAGGGAUGUUGGAAGUAACAUGGACAAACGAGGACCCAGCUACAGAGCUACUUUGUUCUAACGUGGAAGUAUUUCCGUCGAGUAUACACAUGUGGAACGGAAAAGGAAUGUAACUUGACUUUGAUAGAGCGCAGAGUCAUGGCCAGGCGUUUUUUGCCGGAGAUUAUAUUUUAUGCGAGCAUUGAUUCGAUGUAUGUAAUCUCUGUCUUCCAACGUUCCCACGGUCUCCUUGAAUGGACAUUAGCGUUUAAAAUUAACAUGUUCACGGGGCUGUAACAAUCAGGUCGCUGUUCUGUCCAUUUGUAGAGGCUGACGUGAUCGCUUUGUGAUUUCUAUCAUUGGUGUCACAAUGACU